AAAAAAAAAAAUCUGAUUCUUUAUAUAUUUAACAAAAAAUACAUUGUUAAUAAAUUACAAUCGAUUAUACACUUUUAUAUAAUUUAUUAAUAAUAUAGAUAGUCUUUGACUAUACUCUCUCUUCCUAUAUAUUGAAAAUAUCAUCAUUUUAAAAAAAACUUAACAUAUUUAAUUUUUAUAUAUUUAGUAGGUUGAAAUAUACUCACUAUAUUAUUUAAAAAGUUUAAUUAUUUUUAUUUUCAGUUAAUUAUAUAUAUAUAUAUAUUAAAAAAUAUCUUUUUAAUUUUUUAAUGUUUCGGAGACACACGAUAGCAUUUUCAUAUAAUAUUAAUUAUAUUUUAGAACAUUAAUUUUUGUUAGAUUAACUGAAAAAAGUUAAAAUUUUAAAAAUAUUCAUUAAAUAAUACAAUUCUUUAAAUUUUUGUGAUAGUCAUAAAUGAUCACGUCACUCUAAUUAAUAAUUUAAAAAAUAAUUUAUAUAAUUUUUUUUUUAUCUUUAACUAAAUAUUUUAAAAAAUUCUUUAAAAAUAUAUUUAGUAUAUUACUUUGAAAUAUAUAAAUAACACUUGAUAAAAAAAAUAAAAAACAAUAACAAUAACAAAUAUAUUAAUUUCCAUGUGCUUGUCUUGUCUCUCUUCCCUCCAAUCAUUUUCCUCUGUUUUUCUUUUCUUUUCCAUUUUCUUCUUUCUCUUCUGAUUAUUUUCCGGGAAAAAUUUCUCUCCCUCUGGUUUUCCGGCGAUACAAGAGGAAGUAGAAGAGUAGAAGGAAUAAAUUUCUCUGCUUCUACGUAAACUCUUUUUCUUCCCUUUCCUUUACCUUCUCUAUUUCCGUGAUCAACUUAAACUCUUCAACAACUACUACUACAAUAACAACCAUCAUCCAUGAAUUUCAUCUAGCGUAUUAUUCUAUCUCUUUUGAUUUCUUCACUUUCUACUCUUUCACAAGGUACUACUCUUUCGAUUUUUGGGUUUUUUUUUUUAAUUUCUCUUUUGAAUUUAUGUUUCUCAAGUGUUGGGGUUGACUCAAAAUUUAUUUUUCCCUUAAAAAUUCGGUCUUUUUGUGCUUGAUCGGUUUAAUUGGCAAGUGGGUCCAUUAUUUGGUUGCAAAAUUUUGAGCUUUGAUGAAUUACCAGAAAAUAUGUUCUUUGGUUUUUAGGUGGGUCCGUGUUGAUGAAUUAUCUGGGUAGCAACUGUACUUUUCUAUCAUUUAUUUCUUGGAAUUUUUUUUCUGGGUAGGAAUGAAGUUGAUUAAACUUUCUGAAAUGCAUCAUCUACUAACUAUAUUUUUAGCAUGAAUUUUGUUUGAAUAGAUAGAUCUCUCCAAUUUGUGUUGUAUAUUAUUGAGGCAUGUGUUGUUAUGGAUACUGAGAUGAUGAUUUUAUCUGAAAGUUUCAUGCAUAGUUUGUAAGUUAGUUGACUAUAUAUUGUUGUGUUAGCUGGGAAAUGCUUUUGCAGAUAAAUGUUUUAUACCUAUUUUUAUUGAACUUUUGUAAUUGUAGCAGAGAUAGGGAUAUUGCGCUGGAUGUGUGGUAAGACUAGACAUGAUAAGAUUAGAAAUGAAAAUACUAGAGAGUAUAGUAGAAAAGACGGUGGAAAAUGGACUUAGGUGGUUUGGACAUGUAGAGAGAAGACAAGUAUAUUUUGUGGUAAAGAGAGUAGAUCAGAUGGAGAGGAGUCUAUCUGCUAGAGGUAGAGGAAGACUUAGAAAAACUAUAAGAAAAGUUAUUUAGAAAGAUCUUUGAGAUUAACGUUUGUGAUAGAAACAUGAUCCUGGAUAGAAUAUUAUGGCAAAAGUUGAUCUAUGUAAAAGCAUGUUAUGUAGGUUAUUCAAGGGAUUGCAUUUGACUCUCUCUACUGGGUGAUUUCUAUGAGUGAUUCAAAGUAAAAAAGAGAUAAAACUAUUGAGGCAAUUGUUAUCUCUUUUUGGAAUACUAAAAUGUUUUGAAUGCUUACUUGUAACAAUUUUUCUGUUGAUGUUACAUUGGUUUUGUAUAGUUUCAUGAUGUUUUAUAUUAACUGAUACUAAGGUAUCUGACUCGUUUCUUCUCAUUUUGCAACAUUACUAGAAAAGUGACUGAAAAUGGACAAACAUUCCGGGGAUUCUUUGCCCGCUCGUGGUACUGCAGGUUCUUCUUCUAACUUCAUACAUAAAAAUAAAACAUUUGUACAAAGAUUUUGAUUUUUUUAAUUGAUGUCGCUUUUUGUAGGGCUGUCUGGGAUUUCCUCGCUAAAUAUUCCAAAUAAAGCAGGAAGCAGUGCAUGGAGAAUACCGAACGCGACUGAUGUAUUUCAAGAUUCUAAUGAUGUUAGCUUGUUUUCUACUUCAUUGCCUGUUCUUCCGCAUGAAAAUUGUAAGUUUUUGUGAUAUCGUUUUCUUAUAGAAUAGUAAGGAAUCAGUAAAGUUGGUUAUUGUAAUGUUUUUUUUUGUGCCAAUAUGCAGUAAAUUUGACCGAUUCUGAACAAUAUGGUCAACUGGUGGAUGAUAACUUGCUAACAGUAGAUAAAGUUCAUAAAGAGGACGAGGGGCAUGAUCCUUUUGAUAACUUCGAAAUUAAUGCCAUUGGAAACAUGCUACCUGAUGAUGAAGACGAGCUUUUAGCUGGGAUAAUGGACGAUUUUGAUCUUAGCGGGUUACCAAAUCAACUGGAGGAUUUGGAUGAAAACGAUCUGUUUGUUAAUGGAGGUGGAUUUGAAAUGGAUUUUGAAUCCCAAGAGGGUCUUAGUUUUGGUGUUUCAAAGAUGAGUAUAUCAGAUGGAAUUGCUUCUAAUGGCAUUGGACCAUAUGCGAUUCCGAAUGGUGUAGGAACAGUGGCUGGAGAGCAUCCCUACGGAGAGCAUCCAUCGAGGACAUUGUUUGUUCGGAACAUCAAUAGUAACGUUGAGGAUUCUGAAUUAAGAACACUAUUUGAGGUAUUAUACACUUACCUAAUGAUUCAAUAUAUAUUAUAUUUAUCUUUGGACACAAUGGUUAUUGGUUAAUGUUCGCAUCGUUGAUUAUUUCUUAUUUUAUAGCAAUACGGGGAUAUCAGAACUUUGUACACUGCAUGCAAGCACAGGGGCUUCGUGAUGAUAUCUUACUAUGAUAUACGAGCUGCUCGCACUGCAAUGCGUGCUUUACAAAACAAACCCUUGAGACGAAGGAAACUCGAUAUUCAUUUUUCAAUUCCUAAGGUUUGAUUUAGAGAAUUACUUAAUGUUUGACGAAUUGUAAUUGACAUUGCCUUUGUGUUAUUCAUCUCUUUUAUUCGGUUUUGAAAGGAUAACCCUUCGGAAAAAGAUAUAAACCAAGGAACCCUCGUAGUGUUCAAUUUAGAUCCAUCGGUAUCAAAUGACGACCUUCGUCAGAUAUUCGGGGUUUAUGGUGAGGUCAAAGAGGUAAUAUUUGGACUCCCUUCACCUUUUCUACUGCUUAGUUUUUAUCUAGUGCUUGAAGCAGUGUUAAUUUUGUAUUAAAACUGCAGAUCAGGGAAACACCGCACAAGAGACACCAUAAAUUUAUCGAGUUUUAUGAUGUUAGAGCAGCAGAUGCAGCUCUUAAAGCGUUAAAUCGAAGCGACAUUGCUGGCAAACGCAUAAAACUUGAACCUAGCCGUCCUGGUGGAGCCCGCAGAAAGUAAGUUCCGUUAUAUCUUAUAUCUUUAUUUGUAUGCUAUAAACAUAAUUAAACUUGUAUAAAACUUGUCACACACAUUGUCUUGUUAGCUUGAUGCAACAACUGAGUCAAGAAUUGGAACAAGAUGAAGUUCGAACUUUCAGGACUCAAGUAGGUUCACCUAUAGCCAGUUCUCCUCCUGGUAAAUAUCUCCUAAUCUGAUUUUGUUUUCUCGUGUUAUAUCAUUGAAGAAAGGUAUCUUCUUUUACAAGGUAAGUUUAAUACGUAAUUUUUUCACAGGUAGCUGGGCACAAUUUAGUAGUCCGGUUGAACCUAAUCCGUUAGGUUCUUACAGCAAGUCCCCUGGUUUGGGUCAUGCCAGCCCGAUUAAUAUCAAUCAUUUGUCCGGAUUGGCUGCAAUUCUUUCCCCGCACGCAUCAACCUCUCCCAAAAUUGCGCCGAUUGGCAAGGACCCUGGAAGAGUUUCAAAUCAGAUGUUUGCCAGCUCUGGAGGAUCAACACAUGGAGUAGCUUUUCAACAUUCUAUCUCCUUUCCUGAAAAAAAUAUAAAUGCAAGUCCUAGGCCGAUAUCUGCUUUUGGUGAAUCAAAUUCAAAUUCAUCGAGUGUUGGAACAUUGUCUGGUCCCCAAUUUCUUUGGGGAAGCCCGACUCCUUACUCGGAGAAUUCAAACACAUCUGCCUGGUCUUCGUCUUCCGUUGGGCAUCCAUUUACAUCUAGUGGCCAAAGGCAGGGUUUCCCGUACACAGGUCAUCGCAAUCCUUUUCUCGGCUCCCAGCAUCACCAUCAUGUAGGAUCUGCUCCAUCCGGCCUUCCUCUUGAACGAAAUUUCAGAUACUUUCCAGAAUCACCGGAUACCUCUCUCAUGAGCUCCAUUGAAUUUGGGAAUUUAAAUCACGGCAAUGGGAAUUUUAUGAUGAACAUGGGCUCUCGUCCAUCUGUCGGGCAUGGUAUUGGCCUUUCAGCAACUUCCAGUGAAAUCGGUUCGCCUAAUUUCGGAAUGAUGUCCGUACCUGGUCAUGGUUCCUUGUUCAUUGGAAAUAGUUUGUACGCUGGACCUGGACUAUCUAGCAUCGAGGGAUUUGGUGAACGUGGACGAAAUCGGCGACCUGACAAUAAUGUGAACCAAAUCGAAAGUAAGAAGCUGUACCAGCUUGAUCUUGACAAAAUCAUCAGUGGUGAAGAUACAAGGACAACUCUAAUGAUUAAAAACAUUCCUAACAAGUAAGAACAACAACUAGACAAAUAUUCUAACGAUGCCAUCAGAAUCCUUGAGAUGAAUUUCUUGAUGACUUUUGUCUGUUGUGAUUGCUUUUAAGGUACACUUCAAAGAUGCUACUCGCCGCAAUUGAUGAGAAUCACCAGGGGACUUACGACUUCCUCUACUUGCCAAUUGACUUUAAAGUAUGCUCAUCCUAUAUAUAUUUUUCAAUUAGAGAUUUAUGGUUUUGGUUCUGUUUCCAGGAUGACUUAUUUAUUAAUGCCGGUUUUCGCUUGCAGAAUAAGUGUAAUGUCGGUUACGCAUUCAUCAAUAUGGUCUCUCCUUCACACAUCGUCGCCUUCUAUAAGGUUUAAUUUCUAUACCCUUGCAUGCCUGAUUUGUUUUGGUAUCGAGAAGUAUAAUAUGCGUCGUUAAAUUUUAAGAACUCUAUCAUUAAAAUUUAUGCAGGCCUUUAACGGAAAGAAAUGGGAGAAGUUUAAUAGCGAAAAAGUUGCUUCACUGGCAUAUGCACGGAUUCAAGGAAAGGCUGCACUUGUGAUGCAUUUUCAGAACUCAAGCUUAAUGAAUGAGGAUAAGCGAUGUCGGCCAAUCCUUUUUCAUUCAGAAGGCCAAGAUACUAGUGACCAGGUAACAAUAUAUUCGCUUCAAUUGCUUGAAAUGUCAAUAUUUCUGCCUUGACACAUUGGUCCCGAGUCCUGUCCUUCGAUUGUCUGACAGUUUCCGUCUGUUAUCGUACCAUCCAGGAACACUUUCUAUCCAGCAACUUGAAUAUAUGUAUUCGUCAACCAGACGGGUCUUACUCGGGUGAUAUGUUGGAGAGCCCGAAGAGCUAUUCAGAUGAAAAUCUGGAAAAAGAUUGACCAUUUGUUAGAUAUAUUAUUGUUCCUAGCCACAUUACAUAUGGUCUAGGAGUGCUAACUAUUGCAUAGGUGAUCUUAAAGAUGUACAAAGUUGAUUCAUAAAACAAAAAAAAACGGUGUAUAAAGAUUAAGGGCGGAAUCCAUUUAUCAGCGCAUCAUAAUCUUUAAAAAAACGCAGAAACCAAGGCGUACGUAGAGAAACAAUUGUGUUAUAAUACCAGAGGAAAAGAAUAAAUCGGAGCUCGAGGUGUAUUGCUGGAUGGUAAAUUUCUACAGCAGCAUGCAUACUGUUUGUGCAGGAUAUUUUUUCUGGUCUUUUGUUGUUUUGUUGAGGCUGUUAUGGUCUUUUGAGAAAUAUUACUAUGUAUAUGUAUGUACCUAAAGAAAUUCUAGUUUAUGGAAAAAAGUUUGUAUAGAAGGGAAACAAUGAAGUAUCAUGUUUGUAAUUGUGGCUUUGUUCAGUCAAAAUGUGAAUGUACAUGUAUGUAACAUUGUGAACUGGUUUCAUGUGAAUGUUGUAAGUGAAAGUCUCAAUACAUUGUAAUAUUGGAGGUUUUUGUUAAGUAUUAUUUUUAUUGAUCUUA
rnacentral:lncRNA from 1 species